rnacentral:rRNA from 1 species
GAUGAACGCUGGCGGCGUGCCUAACACAUGCGAGUCGAGCGGCAUCUAGGGGUUCUUUCACCCUGUCGGCGAGCGGCGGACGGCUGAGUAACGCGUGAGAACGUGCCCCAAAGUGAGGAAUAACUGCCCGAAAUGGUAGCUAAUACCGCAUAUUAUCUUCAGAUCAAAGGAUUUAUCCUCUUUGUGAGCGGCUCGCGUCGGAUUAGGUAGUUGGUUAGGUAAUGGCUCACCAAGCGGACGAUCCGUAGCUGGUCUGAGAGGAUGCCCAGCAAGACUGGGAGUGAGACACGGUACAGACUCCUACGGGAGGAAGCAGUGAGGAAUCAUACACAAUGGGCGACAGACUGAUGGAGCAACGCCGCGUGAAGGAGGAAGGCGUUGGGGUUGUAACCUGCUUUUAUAAGUGAGGAAUAUGACGGUAACUUAUGAAUAAGGAUCGGCUAACUACGUG